GCCUGGGUGACUCAGUCGGUUAAGUGUCUGACUUUGGCUCAGGUCAUGAUCUUGCGGUUCGUGGGUUCAAGCCCCGCAUCGGGCU
rnacentral:tRNA from 1 species